UACGAAGGGGGCUAGCGUUGUCCGGAAUUAUUGGGCGUAAAGAGCUCGUAGGCGGUCUGUCGCGUCUGCUGUGAAAACUCAGGGCUUAACCCUGAGCUUGCAGUGGGUACGGGCAGACUAGAGUGCGGUAGGGGAGACUGGAAUUCCUGGUGUAGCGGUGAAAUGCGUAGAUAUCGGGAGGAACACCAGUGGCGAAGGCGACUACCUGGCCUGUUCUUGACGCUGAGGCGCGAAAGCAUGGGGAGCGAAUGGG
rnacentral:rRNA from 1 species